CGGACAGAUGGGGAGCUUGCUCCCUGAUGUUAGCGGCGGACGCGGUGAGUAACACGUGGGUAACCUGCCUGUAAGACUGGGAUAACUCCGGGAAACCGGGGCUAAUACCGGAUGCUUGUUUGAACCGCAUGGUUCAAACAUAAAAGGUGGCUUCGGCUACCACUUACAGAUGGACCCGCGGCGCAUUAGCUAGUUGGUGAGGUAAUGGCUCACCAAGGCGACGAUGCGUAGCCGACCUGAGAGGGUGAUCGGCCACACUGGGACUGAGACACGGCCCAGACUCCUACGGGAGGCAGCAGUAGGGAAUCUUCCGCAAUGGACGAAAGUCUGACGGAGCAACGCCGCGUGAGUGAUGAAGGUUUUCGGAUCGUAAAGCUCUGUUGUUAGGGAAGAACAAGUACCGUUCGAAUAGGGCGGUACCUUGACGGUACCUAACCAGAAAGCCACGGCUAACUACGUGCCAGCAGCCGCGGUAAUACGUAGGUGGCAAGCGUUGUCCGGAAUUAUUGGGCGUAAAGGGCUCGCAGGCGGUUUCUUAAGUCUGAUGUGAAAGCCCCCGGCUCAACCGGGGAGGGUCAUUGGAAACUGGGGAACUUGAGUGCAGAAGAGGAGAGUGGAAUUCCACGUGUAGCGGUGAAAUGCGUAGAGAUGUGGAGGAACACCAGUGGCGAAGGCGACUCUCUGGUCUGUAACUGACGCUGAGGAGCGA
rnacentral:rRNA from 1 species